UGACUGUCCAUUGAAAAACACCAUCUCUCAUGGGGGCCCAGUGCGUAACAGCUGCAAACAACCUUCUCAGUAGUGUACGCAGCCUAUUGCCCAUACAGGUUGCCCUAAGGGACCUUGAAGAUAGAU
ensembl:snoRNA SNORA70 Small nucleolar RNA SNORA70